CUAUUUUGUUGAUCAUGAGAGCUUUUCUGCAAAAGGAAAGCACAGAAAUCUGGGGGAAUUGCAAAAGUUGGAGGUUCUCCAAAGUACUUAUUAUUCAAGUUGGAUAAACCAGUUCUGCAGACUGCAUCCCCAGCGCCUUUUCCAAUGAUGAUAACUGCCCUUAAAAUUCUUUCAGACCUGGAGAUCUUUCAGUGUGAAACCAGUGGAGUCUUGAAGUAUGACUAAAGACAGACACCAGUACUAGCACAAACAUUACCAAGUUGCGCGAUUAUGGAGAUGGUCUCUCUGAUGCUGAAAAUGUACCUAGUUUUUUGACAACGGCUAAAUAACCAUGGGGUCUAGUGGACUUGGAAAAGCAGCAACAUUAGAUGAGCUGUUGAGCACUUGCAUUGAGAUGUUUGGU
rnacentral:lncRNA from 1 species